rnacentral:rRNA from 1 species
AACGGGAGGGGCAAGCGUUAUUCGGAAUUAUUGGGCGUAAAGGGUCCGUAGACUGUAUUGUAAGUUAAAGGUGAAAUCUUAAAGCUCAACUUUAAAAGUGCUUUUAAUACUGCUAUACUGGAGUUUUAUACAGAAAAGUAGAAUUUUAUGUUUAAGGGUGAUAACUGAGGAUAACAUAAAGGAAUACCAAUAGCGAAGGCAACUUUUUGGUAAAAACUGACGUUGAGGGACGAAAGUAUAGGUAGCAAACAGG